rnacentral:rRNA from 1 species
CAGUAGCCACGGGAAUACGAAGGGUGCAAGCGUUACUCGGAAUUACUGGGCGUAAAGCGUGCGUAGGUGGUGGUUUAAGUCCGUUGUGAAAGCCCUGGGCUCAACCUGGGAAUUGCAGUGGAUACUGGGUCACUAGAGUGUGGUAGAGGAUAGUGGAAUUUCCGGUGUAGCAGUGAAAUGCGUAGAGAUCGGAAGGAACAUCUGUGGCGAAGGCGACUAUCUGGGCCAACACUGACACUGAGGCACGAAAGCGUGGGGAGCAAACAGGAUUAGAUACCCCUGUAGUCCCUGUCUCUUAUAC